GACGUGUGCUCAGAUUUGGAUUCAGAUUUUGAUUCAGUUUCUGAUUCAGAUCCAGGUUCAGGUUCAGAAGGUGUAACUAAUCCGCUGGCCAUGUGACUUUUGUCAUGCGCCGAUGUCAAACACUAUAUGCCCGAAAUACAAAACACGAAAUACGAAAAUCGACGCCCGACUGCCGAUAAACCCUUGCCAAUCCGGCAAGCGAAAGGCUUUCCACUCGAUUCCACCCUGAACACACGGCCGAACGGCCUUCCACCUUCAAUCAGCGGACCACUAACUCCACCCCCAUGAAUCCUCCAAUCCUCCCUCCGAUUGAUUCCAGUGUUCACUUCGAAUUGCCGCUUGUAAUCCCUUGAAUUGGCACUGCACUUGGAACAAAAACGUGGUAGUAAUAGUUUCUCCCAGUGCACAUAUGGAGUAAUCAUCACGAAACUGCUCGCCGGGUGGUCCAAGCUGACAUUUCGCAGUUGGCUGACUGCCCUUAUGUGAGAGGGGGGGUGGGGGAGUUUUCCACAAUAAUUUUCAUAAUUUCCCUUCCCCGAAGGCGAAGCUACCUUGCCGGUUGGCUUCCAUAAAUCAACCGCGAACUAUUGACACAGCCCGAGGGCCGUAAAUCAAUGGGAUUCGCGGACAUCAGGUUCGCACAACGGCCAGGGCAUAUUCUAAACAAAUUGCCCCCAAAUCGGCGGAGACUAUAUCGAUAUAUAGGAAUGCAUCCGUGGAUUUUCCGGCUGCAAAAUGCGCGAACAAAUAAUGGCAACAAUAGCGUGGAAUAAAACAAUUGCCACAGUUUUAACAUUUGCCAUAAAUAAACAUGAACCGGUUUUCGGGUAGUCGCAUUUGGUUA